rnacentral:rRNA from 1 species
AGGUCUUGACAUCCCGAUGCUAUUCUAGAGAUAGAAAGUUACUUCGGUACAUCGGUGACAGGUGGUGCAUGGUUGUCGUCAGCUCGUGUCGUGAGAUGUUGGGUUAAGUCCCGCAACGAGCGCAACCCCUAUUGUUAGUUGCCAUCAUUCAGUUGGGCACUCUAGCGAGACUGCCGGUAAUAAACCGGAGGAAGGUGGGGAUGACGUCAAAUCAUCAUGCCCCUUAUGACCUGGGCUACACACGUGCUACAAUGGUUGGUACAACGAGUUGCGAGUCGGUGACGGCGAGCUAAUCUCUUAAAGCCAAUCUCAGUUCGGAUUGUAGGCUGCAACUCGCCUACAUGAAGUCGGAAUCGCUAGUAAUCGCGGAUCAGCACGCCGCGGUGAAUACGUUCCCGGGCCUU